AGUCUUUCACACUACGUCACUGCGGUUGUCCGGUUGCGCAACAGGCUAUGGCUGUUGCCCGCUCUGGUAACAAGUGACCGUCACUGGCAGUUGCCGUCAUCGACCGUUGGGCACUGUUUCAAAUGGGAGCUUUCAUACUAAGCUACCGUGUGGCGCAACUUUCGUUCUAAUCUGUCACUUUUCUCAGUGGCCUGCCAGCUUUGCACAGGGAAGAACGUGCGAGAUGGAGGGGAUGAAGGUGUUGGAGAAAAUUAACACAAGAUUUCAUUCACGAAGUGGAAAAACACCCAGCAGUUUGGGAUUCAUCCACUGACCAAUAUAGCAACAAGAAUGAAAAGAGGAACGCGUGGAGUGAAAUUAUUAUGCACUUCAUUCCCGACUUUGAAGGGAAAUCUCCAGCUGAGAAGAAUGAAAUAGCUACUCAUGUCCAGAAGAGGUAGAAGGGAAUUCGUGCCUGUUACACCAGAGAGCUUAUGAAGAAAAAGAAUUGAGAAGAGUGGGUCAGAUGUAAGUGGACGGAAGCAGUAUGCUUACUUUGAAAUCCUCCGUUUCCUUGAAACGGUGUGCAAACGAACCGCUAGUAUUAUGGAUGGAAACAAUGAUGAGGAUGCUGAAAAUGAUGGCGUACAAAAGGGUGAUAUGGAGACUCCAAGGGAAGUCGGAGACUGAGAAACGUCCUAAACACUCUAGGAUGAAGAAAAACAAUGAUGAUUAACUGAUUCAAGUCUUGAAGAGCAAAAUUCUUCGCGAAAAUCAACAGCCAUCCGAUGAAACAAACGAGGAUAAGUAACCGUUGUUCUUAAGGUGCAUACACACUGCGCUGAUGUUUCGUGUUAACACGCCAUGUGACGUGUCAACACAGCAACAGAUUGCAUCAUAUAACACAACGACGUUUUUAUUUAUCUGAUGCAUGUUACGUCAGAAAGAUUUGAUUUUUUGUGGAGUGAGCACGUUCUUUCUUUCUUAUCCUCCAAUUUUGUGUUGUAAAAAUUGAAAAUGAAUGAAAAUGUUAAAUGAACUCGAUGAAGAAGAGGAGCAGUUAGUAGCAAUAGCUAUAGCGCUUGCUACUUCUGGAGAAAAAACUCAAACAAAUGUGAUAAACGCCGAAAGGGAUAGUUUGGGCGAGUUUCAUCACCUAUUUCCCCAGCUACUGUCACAGGAAGAUCGUUUUGUUAUAUACUUUAGGAUGACAAAAGAAGAGUUCUACAACCUUUUAGACAUAAUAAAACCAGCAAUUACAAAAUCCAACACUCAACUAAAGAAAUGUAUAGCAGCAGAAGAGAGACUUGCUGUAUGCUUGAGGUGAGUAAAACUUACACAAUUAUGUCUUAAUAUUAUUUUCAGCUAAUUAGGUACAUGAAACACAUAGAUAUGUAAGAUAUUACAUAGAAAAAUAUACUGCCUCCGUUCCUGUAGGACUUCGAAACACUAUUGAAUAAUAUCAAAACACUAUACAAUAAUAUGCGCCUACACCUAUCUGACGCAGAUUUCCUUCUGACGAAUAUCUGGGAGUUUUGAAUUUGAUCUGAUGCGUGUUGAUGCAUGUUAUGUCGCGUAACACGUCAGCUGACGUGUUACGCGACAUAUCAGACCAGUGUGAACUUCAUUAUGAGAACGCCUGUUCCAGAUUUUUUGCUAACACGUGUUAACACGUCAUAUGGCGUGCUAACACGAAACAUCAGCGCAGUGUGUAUGCACCUUUACUAUCCCUUGUAUCAGAACUUCAAAAGGUACCUGCAGACAGAAAGCUUCAAGUAAAAUAACAUAUCAUGACUACCAUCGCGCAAGCUCAACAAAUUUACUAAUAACUGCCACAGUAUCAAUAUCCAACACUCCCUGUUUAUCAUCCGACACAUCUACCUUACUAUGCGCAGCAGCCAACAGAAGUGCUCUUGUGCAGUCAACUCCUACACCAGCAUCAUCACCUUCGUCACCUACCUAUUCGGAAGUCAGCAGCGUAAAUGAUGACUUUAUUAAUUUCGACCAGUGAGCCUCACAUGGAUUUCCAUAGUAAUUACAUAAAUACUGUACGUUGAAGAAAAUAAAAUUACCAAAAGGA